UAGGGAAUCUUCCGCAAUGGGCGAAAGCCUGACGGAGCAACGCCGCGUGAGUGAUGAAGGUCUUCGGAUCGUAAAACUCUGUUAUUAGGGAAGAACAAAUGUGUAAGUAACUAUGCACGUCUUGACGGUACCUAAUCAGAAAGCCACGGCUAACUACGUGCCAGCAGCCGCGGUAAUACGUAGGUGGCAAGCGUUAUCCGGAAUUAUUGGGCGUAAAGCGCGCGUAGGCGGUUUUUUAAGUCUGAUGUGAAAGCCCACGGCUCAACCGUGGAGGGUCAUUGGAAACUGGAAAACUUGAGUGCAGAAGAGGAAAGUGGAAUUCCAUGUGUAGCGGUGAAAUGUGCAGAGAUAUGGAGGAACACCAGUGGCGAAGGCGACUUUCUGGUCUGUAACUGACGCUGAUGUGCGAAAGCGUGGGGAUCAAACAGG
rnacentral:rRNA from 2 species